CAUGUUUGUCAUUAGUCUCUUUGUGUAUGUAGCCCUCAUGUUUUGUUGUCUGUUGUCUUGCUUUGUUUUGUCUUCCACUGUCGACCUGCAAUCCAUUUCUGAGAACCGAGGCUUUAAGCAGUCGAGGUUGUGUGGAGGGUAAAGCCAAGGUUUUCUUUCCGCUUUUAUUGGAUGGCAGAUCCAAUUAAUCCCCGGGGAGAUGGUACGAAAGAAGCUUCAGCCGACAGAAAGAUGAAGCUUGUUUUACCUCCGAUCACGAGCCGGUUUCAUCCCGGGUGACAGAAUCCGCUUCGACAGACGAAGGCUUUUAAACACUGCUGAAAAAUGACUCCGCACGGCAGGUGUUUGCUGUUUGUUUUCAAUUCCCAUUAGUCUCUUCAGGUAAGAGUCCUUCCUCCAGACGGCGUGGAGAGACUGCUGUAGAUGCUCAAGACUUCUGCAUAUGAUGUGCAACUCAAACUGGAGAGAAGGGUGAUUUCAACAUAAAUACAAAGCAGUUUAGUGCUUUCCUCAAAAUCAUAGCCACUUUAUUUAGAAUUGGAUAAAUUAUUUUUAUUUUAUUUUAUUUAUUUAUUUUUUUUUUGGGGGGGGGGGUUGCCUCUUAAUGACAAAGUACAGUCAAAGACGGUUGCAUACCACUAAGAAGCAAUACACCCAGAAAGAGUUUUAUUUUUUAUUUAUUUUAUAACAAUACACCAUUACUUGUAAAUUGUUGUCAGUGAAGUUAUUUUUGCCCUCAGAAUUGUGUAGCAUGUUGCUUAUUGUUAUUGAAAAAAUAUUUUAUUUGAUUUAGACUGGGCAAAUCAAUCCAUUUCGCUUUUAAGUAAAAUAAAAAAUCAGUCACUGGUACAACGUAAUAUAAUAUAAUGAAUGUUUUGCUAUGUUUAUUUGACCACAAUGCUCAGCUACUUUUGAAUGGUCAUCUGUAAAGAAAGAUGCUUUUUGCUCUCGGAAUUGUGAAACUUCUUAUUUUUUUUAUUUUUAUUUUAAUCCUUAUUUAAUACAUUAAUUUUAUACAUUUAACAUAUGUACGACUAUACUUUUAAUACAGUUUAUGUUAGAUCAGAGGAUUUCUUUCUUUCUUUGAUAAAGGUCAUGAAAGCCACUAUGAAGAAGACUUUUUUUUUU
ensembl:lncRNA